rnacentral:lncRNA from 1 species
UUUAAUUUGUGUUUGCCCUUACAGAGAUCAUCUAGUAAGAGACUGCAAAAAAAGAAGAGCAACUGGGAGCAAUUCCUAAGAAUAACCAAUAUUUAAAGUUUAGUUAGAAAAGGAACCAGCAGUAGCUGAGACAUAUUUAUGAGCACUGGGUCCACCCUCAAGAAACUGCUGUAUCACCAUACUCUUCUAAUACUCUAAGAAUUCUUCUUCAUAUGUAUCUGCCCCUAUUUUCUGCCUCGGUGGUUGUUCAGCAUUAAUUCAGGAGGAUUCAGAGAAAAACAGUUUUAACAGGCACAGCUUUAACAUUCAUUUUCGACCCACUGAAGAGGAGAUGAGCUUAUUGGCUGGUGCACCUUGACAACAUGUAGGUGGAAAACAGGACAUUCAGUCUUUGGUGCAGAGUGGUCUGGGAGAUACUUAUGAACCAUUUUAGCACAUUUCAG